CAAUUCUCUGCUUUUGUUGGAUUGAUACACACCUUCAAAAAUUUGAAGGCUGAAAUUUCAUUGGCUGAUAUAAUAUACACAAGGAAGGAAAAUAAAAUGACGUGUUGUAAGAACCUUGUAUCCAAAGCUUAAACAGAUAAUCUGUACAUUAUAUAUUAAUAAAUAAAUGUGUUAGACACCGACUCUAGUUUGAGGGAAGGAGCACGUGUAUUUU
rnacentral:lncRNA from 1 species